UGCCACAUUUUGCCGUUGUCAUCGACCACCUUUGUAAUACGACCACAUCGCAACCACAUCGCAACCACAACGCAACCACAUCGCAACGGCAACGCCGCCACGCGGCGGCGGCACCGCGGCAACCUGUUCUCCGUAUUAACUGCACACGAUGACGUGGUCC